CAAGAAGUAGUUUAAUUAGAAUAUCAGCUUUGGGUGUUGAUGGUGGGGAAGUUAGUCCUUCUUCUUGA
rnacentral:tRNA from 1 species